rnacentral:rRNA from 1 species
GACGAACGCUGGCGGCGUGCCUAAUACAUGCAAGUCGAGCGAAUCUUUGGGGGCUUGCUCCCAAAGGUUAGCGGCGGACGGGUGAGUAACACGUGGGCAACCUGCCUAUAAGACUGGGAUAACUUCGGGGAACCGGAGCUAAUACCGGAUAAUUCUUUUCUACACAUGUAGGAAAGCUAAAAGAUGGUUUACGCUAUCACUUAUAGAUGGGCCCGCGGCGCAUUAGCUAGUUGGUGAGGUAACGGCUCACCAAGGCCACGAUGCGUAGCCGACCUGAGAGGGUGAUCGGCCACACUGGGACUGAGACACGGCCCAGACUCCUACGGGAGGCAGCAGUAGGGAAUCUUCCGCAAUGGACGAAAGUCUGACGGAGCAACGCCGCGUGAGUGAUGAAGGUUUUCGGAUCGUAAAACUCUGUUGUUAGGGAAGAACAAGUAUGAGAGUAACUGCUCGUACCUUGACGGUA